rnacentral:tRNA from 1 species
GGAAGCGUGCCUGAAAGUUAAGAGCCUCCUUGAUAGGGAGACCCAUAGGGGUUCAAAUCCCCUCACUUCCU